CAGUAGCCGCGGGAAUACGUAGGGGGCGAGCGUUGUCCGAAGUUACUGGGCGUAAAGCGCGCGUAGGCGGCUUCUUAAGUCUGAGGUGAAAGGUUCAACGCUUAACGUGAACAGUGCCUUGGAUACUGGGGAGCUUGAGUAUGGGAGAGGGCAGUGGAAUGGCUGGUGUAGCGGUGAAAUGCGUAGAUAUCAGUCGGAACACCCAUGGCGAAGGCAGCUGCCUGGCCUAAUACUGACGCUGAGGUGCGAAAGCGUGGGGAGCGGACGGGAUUAGAUACCCCAGUAGUCCCUGUCUCUUAUU
rnacentral:rRNA from 1 species